AUGGAAUGGGAUGAUAUCCAGCAGGCGUUGCAGGCCAGCAUCAAGUCCGCUGAGGCCUAUCUCGUAUCGCCCUGGUUCUACAUGCAGGCCGGCAUCAUCCUUGUGGCCGCUGGCCUGUCGCUGGCGCUUGCGAGCUUCCUCCGAAAACGGAUCGAUCCGGCAGAGCUGGCGAUGGGCCUGCCGGCGCCGCUGCGCAUGCUGAUCCGG
rnacentral:misc_RNA from 1 species